rnacentral:rRNA from 1 species
UGAGGAAUAUUGGUCAAUGGACGCAAGUCUGAACCAGCCAAGUAGCGUGCAGGAUGACGGCCCUAUGGGUUGUAAACUGCUUUUAUAUGGGGAUAAAUUGGGGAACGUGUUCCCUUUUGCAUGUACCAUAUGAAUAAGGACCGGCUAAUUCCGUGCCAGCAGCCGCGGUAAUACGGAAGGUUCGGGCGUUAUCCGGAUUUAUUGGGUUUAAAGGGAGCGUAGGCCGUUUGGUAAGCGUGUUGUGAAAUGUAGGAGCUCAACUUCUAGAUUGCAGCGCGAACUGUCAGACUUGAGUGCGCACAACGUAGGCGGAAUUCAUGGUGUAGCGGUGAAAUGCUUAGAUAUCAUGAAGAACUCCGAUUGCGAAGGCAGCUUACGGGGGCGCAACUGACGCUGAAGCUCGAAGGUGCGGGUAUCGAACAGG